CAAAAAGUAGUAUAUUUAUUACAAUUCGUUUACACCGAGUCAAAGGUUACACGCCCUUUUUGA
rnacentral:tRNA from 1 species